UACAGAGGUGGCAAGCGUUGUUCGGAAUUACUGGGCGUAAAGGGCGCGUAGGCGGUCUUUUAAGUUCCGUGUGAAAUCCCUCGGCUCAACUGGGGAACGGCACGGGAAACUGGAAGGCUUGAGUUCGGGAGAGGGAAGCGGAAUUCCGGGUGUAGCGGUGAAAUGCGUAGAGAUCGGGAGGAACAUCAGUUGCGAAGGCGGCUCUCUGGACCAGUACUGACGCUGAGGCACGAAAGCGUGGGGAGCAAACAGG
rnacentral:rRNA from 1 species